rnacentral:rRNA from 1 species
UAGGGAAUCUUCCGCAAUGGACGCAAGUCUGACGGAGCAACGCCGCGUGAGUGAAGAAGGAUUUCGGUUCGUAAAACUCUGUUGUUAGAGAAGAACAGCGCAUAGAGUAACUGUUAUGCGUGUGACGGUAUCUAACCAGAAAGCCACGGCUAACUACGUGCCAGCAGCCGCGGUAAUACGUAGGUCCCGAGCGUUGUCCGGAUUUAUUGGGCGUAAAGCGAGCGCAGGCGGUUAGAAAAGUCUGAAGUGAAAGGCAGUGGCUCAACCAUUGUAGGCUUUGGAAACUGUUUAACUUGAGUGCAGAAGGGGAGAGUGGAAUUCCAUGUGUAGCGGUGAAAUGCGUAGAUAUAUGGAGGAACACCGGUGGCGAAAGCGGCUCUCUGGUCUGUAUCUGACGCUGAGGCUCGAAAGCGUGGGGAGCGAACAGG